rnacentral:sRNA from 1 species
GCCGGGCAUGGUAGCGCAUGCCUGUAGUCCCAGCUACUCAGGAGGUUGAGGCAGGAGAAUCGCUUGAACCUGGGAGACGGAGGUUGCAGUGAGCCGAGAUCAUGCCACUGCACUCCAGCCUGGGUGACAGAGUGAGACUCUGUCUCAA